CCUACGGUGGGCAGCAGUGAGGAAUAUUGGUCAAUGGACGGAAGUCUGAACCAGCCAUGCCGCGUGCGGGAAGACGGCUCUAUGAGUUGUAAACUGCUUUUGUACAAGAGUAAACCUGAGUACGUGUAUUGAGCUGAAAGUACUGUACGAAUAAGGAUCGGCUAACUCCGUGCCAGCAGCCGCGGUCAUACGGAGGAUCCAAGCUUUAUCCGGAAUUAUUGGGUUUAAAUGGUGCGUAGGCGGAUUGUUAAGUUGGAGGUGAAAUGUUGGAGCUGAACUCGAGAACUGCCGCUAAGACUGUGGAGCUAGAGAGUAGAUGCGGCAGGCGGAAUGCAUGGUGUAGCGGUGAAAUGCUUAGAGAUCAUACAGAACACCGAUUGCGAAGGCAGCUUACCAAUCAAUAUCUGACGUUGAUGCACGAAAGCGUGGGGAGCAAACAGGAUUAGAUACCCUAGUAGUC
rnacentral:rRNA from 1 species